UACGUAGGGUGCAAACGUUGUUCGGAAUUACUGGGCGUAAAGCGCGUGUAGGCGGCUUUGCAAGUCGGGUGUGAAAGCCCUCAGCUCAACUGAGGAAGUGCGCCCGAAACUGCAGAGCUUGAGUGCCGGAGAGGGUGGCGGAAUUCCCCAAGUAGAGGUGAAAUUCGUAGAUAUGGGGAGGAACACCGGUGGCGAAGGCGGCCACCUGGACGGUAACUGACGCUGAGACGCGAAAGCGUGGGGAGCAAACAGG
rnacentral:rRNA from 1 species